GUAGUAACAUGGCUAUAUACAAGGAGUACCAGGUAGUAACAUGGCUAUAUACAGGGAGUACCAGGUAGUAACAUGGCUAUAUACAAGGAGUACCAGGUAGUAACAUGGCUAUAUACAGGGAGUACCAGGUAGUAACAUGGCUAUAUACAAGGAGUACCAGGUAGUAACAUGGCUAUAUACAGGGAGUACCAGGUAGUAACAUGGCUAUAUACAGGGAGUACCAGGUAGUAACAUGGCUAUAUACAAGGAGUACCAGGUAGUAACAUGGCUAUAUACAAGGAGUACCAGGUAGUAACAUGGCUAUAUACAGGGAGUACCAGGUAGUAACAUGGCUAUAUACAGGGAGUACCAGGUAGUAACAUGGCUAUAUACAAGGAGUACCAGGUAGUAACAUGGCUAUAUACAGGGAGUACCAGGUAGUAACAUGGCUAUAUACAGGGAGUACCAGGUAGUAACAUGGCUAUAUACAGGGAGUACCAGGUAGUAACAUGGCUAUAUACAAGGAGUACCAGGUAGUAACAUGGCUAUAUACAGGGAGUACCAGGUAGUAACAUGGCUAUAUACAGGGAGUACCAGGUAGUAACAUGGCUAUAUACAAGGAGUACCAGGUAGUAACAUGGCUAUAUACAGGGAGUACCAGGUAGUAACAUGGCUAUAUACAAGGAGUACCAGGUAGUAACAUGGCUAUAUACAGGGAGUACCAGGUAGUAACAUGGCUAUAUACAAGGAGUACCAGGUAGUAACAUGGCUAUAUACAAGGAGUACCAGGUAGUAACAUGGCUAUAUACAGGGAGUACCAGGUAGUAACAUGGCUAUAUACAGGGAGUACCAGGUAGUAACAUGGCUAUAUACAAGGAGUACCAGGUAGUAACAUGGCUAUAUACAGGGAGUACCAGGUAGUAACAUGGCUAUAUACAGGGAGUACCAGGUAGUAACAUGGCUAUAUACAGGGAGUACCAGGUAGUAACAUGGCUAUAUACAAGGAGUACCAGGUAGUAACAUGGCUAUAUACAGGGAGUACCAGGUAGUAACAUGGCUAUAUACAGGGAGUACCAGGUAGUAACAUGGCUAUAUACAAGGAGUACCAGGUAGUAACAUGGCUAUAUACAGGGAGUACCAGGUAGUAACAUGGCUAUAUACAAGGAGUACCAGGUAGUAACAUGGCUAUAUACAGGGAGUACCAGGUAGUAACAUGGCUAUAUACAGGGAGUACCAGGUAGUAACAUGGCUAUAUACAAGGAGUACCAGGUAGUAACAUGGCUAUAUACAAGGAGUACCAGGUAGUAACAUGGCUAUAUACAAGGAGUACCAGGUAGUAACAUGGCUAUAUACAGGAAGUACCAGGUAGUAACAUGGCUAUAUACAAGGAGUACCAGGUAGUAACAUGGCUAUAUACAAGGAGUACCAGGUAGUAACAUGGCUAUAUACAAGGAGUACCAGGUAGUAACAUGGCUAUAUACAGGAACUACCAGGUAGUAACAUGGCUAUAUACAAGGGAGUACCAGGUAGUAACAUGGCUAUAUACAAGGAGUACCAGGUAGUAACAUGGCUAUAUACAAGGAGUACCAGGUAGUAACAUGGGUAUAUACAAGGAGUACCAGGUAAUAACAUGGCUAUAUACAAGGAGUACCCGGUAGUAACAUGGCUAUAUACAAGGACUAGGCAACAGGGUGUGUGUGUGUGUGUGUGUGUGUGUGUGUGUGUGUGUGUGUGUGUGUGUGUGUGUGUGUGUGUGUGUGUGUGUGUGUGUGUGUGUGUGUGUGUGUGUGUGUGUGUGUGUGUGUGUGUGUGUGUGUGUGUGUGUGUGUGUGUGUGUGUGUGGCAUCAGUAUGCAUGUGUGUACAUGUGUGUGUUGUAUCAGUGUGAGGUUCCUGUUGGUUCCAGACUUGGUGCACUGGUACUACUUGCUGUGCGGUAGCAGAGUGAACAGUCUAUGACUUGGGUUGUUGGAGUCUUUGACAACUUUUUGACCCUUCCUCUGACACCACCUGGUAUGGAGGUCCUGGAUGGCAGGGAGCUCUGCCUCUGAUGUACUGGGCCGAACUCACCACCCUCUGUAGCGCCUUGCAUUAGCCUUGAAGUUGCCGUACCAAGCAGUGAUGCAGCCAGCCAAGAUGCUCUCAAUCAUCAAACAUGGAUAAACAUGGGUAGACCUGUGUACAUGUUCCAGGACAGAUUGAUAGUAAUGUUGAUACUAUUUAAGACCUGUGUACAUGUUCGAGGACAGGCUCCAGGUCUGCUUGAUAGUAAUGUUGAUACUAUUUAGGACCUGUAUACAUGUUCCAGGACAGGCAAAAA